rnacentral:rRNA from 1 species
CUACGGGGGGCAGCAGUCGAGUAUUUUCUGCAAUAUACGAAAGUGUGACAGGGCGAGCCAGAGUGAUUCUCUAUAAUUGAGAAUCUUUUGUGACAUGUAAAUAGUGUUACGAAUAAGAACCGGGCAAGACUGGUGCCAGUCGCCGCGGUAAUACCAGCGGUUCAAGUCGCAGCUAUAAUUAUUGGGUCUAAAACAUCCGUAGCUUGCUUGGCAAGUCUCUUGUGAAAUCCGGCUUCUUAAGAGUCGAAGAGCAUGAGAUACUGCUUGGCUAGAGACCGGGAGAGGUAAGAAGUACGGUCAGGGUACCGGUUAAAUGGGUUGAUCCUGUCUGGACUAACAACAGCGAAGGCAUCUUACUAGCACGGAUCUGACAGUAAGGGAUGAAGGCUAGGGGCGCAAAAGGGAUUAGAUACCCCGGUAGUC